rnacentral:rRNA from 1 species
CCUACGGGCGGCAGCAGUGGGGAAUAUUGGGCAAUGGGCGCAAGCCUGACCCAGCAAUGCCGCGUGAAGGAGGAAGGCUUUCGGGUUGUAAACUUCUUUGACAGGGGAAGAGCAGAAGACGGUACCCUGAGAACAAGCCACGGCUAACUACGUGCCAGGAGCCGCGGUAAUACGUAGGUGGCAAGCGUUGUCCGGAUUUACUGGGUGUAAAGGGCGUGUAGCCGGGAAGGCAAGUCAGAUGUGAAAUCUGGAGGCUCAACCCCCAACUUGCAUUUGAAACUGUUUUUCUUGAGUACUGGAGAGGCAGACGGAAUGCCUGGUGUAGCGGUGAAAUGCGUAGAUAUAAGGCGGAACACCAGUGGCAAAGGCGGUCUGCUGGACAGCAACUGACGGUGAGGCGCGAAAGCGUGGGGAGCAAACAGGAUUAGAUACCCCAGUAGUC